rnacentral:tRNA from 1 species
GGGAAGGUAGCUCAGUGGUAGAGUGUUUGCCUUGCAUGCAUGAAGCCCUGGGUUCGAUUCCUCAGCACCA